UACGGGGGGGGCAAGCGUUGUUCGGAAUUACUGGGCGUAAAGGGCUCGUAGGCGGCCAACUAAGUCAGACGUGAAAUCCCCCGGCUUAACCAGGGAACUGCGUCUGAUACUGCAUGGCUGGAGUGCGGCAGAGGGGGAUGGAAUUCCGCGUGUAGCAGUGAAAUGCGUAGAUAUGACAUAGAACACCGAUAGCGAAGGCAGCUUACUACAUGUUCAUUGACGCUGAGGCACGAAAGCGUGGGGAGCAAACAGG
rnacentral:rRNA from 1 species